CGUCUGUGGGGGGUCCGCGCUCCGGCGCCUCCCCCCCCGGGCCCCCGCCGGCCGCGCCGAACUCUUCAUUUGCAAAGCGGACUGUAUGUUCUGAUUAUAUCUUGAAAAACAAGUCAAAACUUUCAACAACGGAUCUCUUGGUUCUGGCAUCGAUGAAGAACGCAGCGAAAUGCGAUAAGUAAUGUGAAUUGCAGAAUUCAGUGAAUCAUCGAAUCUUUGAACGCACAUUGCGCCCGGCAGCAAUCUGCCGGGCAUGCCUGUCCGAGCGUCAUUUCUGCCCUCGAGCGCGGUUCGGCCCCUAGCGGGCCGGCCGCCGCCCGGUGUUGGGGCGCUGCGGGCCUUCGUGCCCGCAGGCCCUGAAAUGAAGUGGCGGUCCCGCCGCGGCGCCCCCUGCGUAGUAGUAAAGCACCUCGCAUCGGGUCCCGGCGUCGGCCAGCCGUCGAACCUCUCUCUUGAUGGUUUGACCUCGGAUCAGGUAGGGUUACCCGCUGAACUUAAGCAUAUCAAUAAGCGGAGGA
rnacentral:sRNA from 1 species